CUCCUUUGUGCAAGCCAAUUGGUAUUCAAUGCCAUCUUUUCGGUGGUUAUCAACUGCAAAAAGCUCGGUAUCCUAACGCUUAACUCGAUCAUCUUCAUUACCGUAUCAGCUUCAAUGGUUGCAAUUCAUCCCGACAGUUCUGAGACCAAAAGAGAUGAGAAAAAUCCAGUAAGAAAGAAUGAACAUACCAUUGGGUUUAUAUCAACAGUUGGUGCUUCUGCAGGCUAUGCUUUAUUGCUGUCUCUAACACAAUUCUCAUUUGACAAAAUACUGAAAAAGGACACAUUUAGUGUUGUGUUUGAAAUGCAGAUUUACACUUCAUUGGUUUCGAGUUUCGUUUGCUUGUUGGGGUUGUUUUUGAGUUUGGAAUUCAUGGAUUUAAAGUCCGAAAUGGAGAAAUUUGAUGAAGGGAAGGUGAUUUAUGUAGUGAGUUUGAUUGGAAUAGCUUUGGCAUGGCAGAUUUGUACAGUGGGAGUAGUGGGAUUGAUCUAUUUGGUGUCAUCUUUGUUCUCAAAUGUUGUGAGUAUGCUUAGUUUGCCAUUUGUUCCAGUUGUUGGUGUUCUGCUUUAUAAGGAGAAAAUGGAUGCAAUUAAGGUGUUGGCAAUGUUGUUCACUCUUUGGGGAUUUGCUUCUUAUAUCUACCAACAAUAUCUUGAUGAUAAAAAGUCAAAGAAAAAGGAAUCCCAAGAAAUCGAAGCUUCAAAAUCUGAAGUUUAACUUAAUUGAUUGAAGAUUCCAAAUCAAAGUAGUGGCUAUGUUUUUCACUCUUUAGGGUUUUUCUUCCUAUCUAGGAAUCCAAGGGAUCAAAGAUUCUUAUAUGCAUAUGUACAUGUCUACCAUACAUGUUGUAUGAAUAAAUAGUAAUUGUUUUUUUUUUAUAAGAAAAUCAAAAGGUUACUCUCUCUUCUCAUUUUCUAUUUUGUCCAAAUUAUAGAUAAAUACAAAAUAAUGAGUAUGGUUGUUUAGAUCUAAAAUUUAUAUUUUUAUAAAUAUUUUGAGGCUCAAAAUAUAUUUUCCCAAUUUUAAGUAUAAAAAUAUUACAAAUUUUAAAUAUGGAAAAUAAUUUAGAGGUGAAAGAUAUUGAGACUCAACUUACUUUUCUUUACCAUACCAUAUAAUUAAUGCCGUGGCUAAAUCUAUUGCUAAAGUAAGUUGGUGUGCUGAUAAAAUCAAGUUUAUGAGAGAUUAAUGAAAGUUUUAAGAUGUGUAUCAAUGCUACUUUCUUUAAGAUUCUAUUCCGUGCCAUCUAUAUUAUGAUGUGCAAAAGAGUUAUUGACAAAUGAACCUUGAGAAUAUAGCAAAGUCCAUUGACUGUUUACAUUUGCAUUGACGGAAACAAUCCUCUAAGCACUAAGCGAAACUUAGCAAUGAUACCAAUUUUUAUAAAAAAAAAUUCUGUUGUAGUUUUUAGGAGAGAGAAAGUAAAAGUACGUUCAGCUGGACGCACUUUCCCCAAGUUACAAUUUUUUUUAUUUUUUUAAUACAAUCAAUUUCUUUGGUUGAAUUAUUAUAUGUUGGUGGUUUUAUCUUUGAGUAUCAGGUUCAGUUCCUCUCCUAUUUCAUUUAUAUUUUAUAUUUCAUGUUGUUUUAAGCUUCUUUUGGUUUUUAAUGAAUAUUUUUAAUAUAUUAACUUCUUCAAUUAAAUAUAUAUUAAAUAAUAAUGAUUUCAAUUUUGAGACCUAGGUGUAAUUCUUCUUUUCUGAACACAUUCGUAAUUUUUAUUUCAUAUCAUUUCAAGUUUUUUUAAUUAAUAAAUAUAUUAUUUUUAAAAUUUUAAAAUUUAAAUUAUCUUUUUAAUUAAUAAAUUUUUAUUCAUAAAAUUAAAUAAUAAAUAUAUUUACUAAAAAUAAUUAUAUUUAUAAUAAUUAUUUUAUUUUAUAAAUACAAAUAUUUAAAUAUAUAUUUGUUGGUCACGGAUCCAAAUUAAAAAGAAAACUUAAAUACAUUUAAAAGAAUAAAGUAGAAAAGAAGCAAAAUUAAGAGUGAAUUUUAUUAAAAAAAAACUCUCCAAACAAAAUUGAUAAAUACAACUCUUCAAGUUGAAUCACUUAACUAAAUUAUUAAUAAAAACUAAAUUUUAUUGAUGAAUCGCAUGUUUACGAUCGGCAGUAUGCGUGGUUAUUUAUAUAACUGUUUAGGGGUCGAAUCUGCUUUAAAAAUAAGUGAGUUUAAUAAAAAUAUAGGUUUGAAAAAUAAAUUUAGAUAAAAAAUUAAAAUUUGUUUAAAUAAUAGGUCAGGCUUUAGGUAAAGCUUUUUCGGACUGAGCCCGGCCCAAAUAUGUAAAAAAAUUGCAGUUUUUUUAUUGUUAUUUUCUUGUUAUUUUUUCACUAUUUUGCUAUCCUAUCACAAUUAUGUUGUUAUUGUCUAAUUUUGUUUUAUUGUUAAUUUUGUUAUUAUUUUAGAGGCAUUUAUCUUAGUAUUAUUUAAGUAUACAUAUAUUUUUUUAAUUUAUUUUCAAUUUUUUGGGAAACAUAUAUUUUAAUGUUCUUAGAUUUUUUAUGUAUUUUUUUAAAAAAAAAUUAUAUGAACGGACUGCGUUUUAAUAUAUUUAUCCGAAUCGAACUUGGAAAAAAUUUUAGAUCCAUUUUUUAUGCCAAACCCAAAUCUAACAUAUGGACCCUAAAAUUUUAGUUAGGCACGACUAUAAACACCUCUAAUUAUUUAUAGCUAAAAUUCCCAGUAAGUUAAAUAUAAUUUACCAAAAAUUUCAGUUGAUUUACUUGUUAUAUUCACCAACUAAAUAAAUCAACAAAUAAAUCACGAAUUAUCCCUCUAAGCUCUAAGCUCUAAGCUCUAAGCUGCAAUAUGAACCUUCCAUCAAUUGUGUCUAGGUUCAGUCGUUUUAUUACAUAAAUAUUCUUAAUUAAAAAAAUAAGGAAAAAUGUAAUUUAUUCUAAUUAAUUAUUGAGCAAAAAUAAAUAAAAGAAAUUGCUAGAGCCUCCGUUUGUUCUUUCUUCAAUUUGAUGUUUAGACAAAUAUUUGAGUUGAGGUAAAUAAACACUUUAAUGCGGGAAGUAAAGAAAGAAGAGAAAUAAACACAAAUCCAAAGCAUGAGAAAAAGAGAUAAGUAAAGAGAGAUUCAAUACAUGAUAUUUGUUAAUGUAGUUUGGAUUUAUCAAUCUUACUUCUGCGAAGUCUUGCUCAAAAAAUAAAUUUAUUCAACAAUUUAUCAAGUAUAACUACGGGGUAAAGUACAUUUUCCUCUCUCACAAUAGAUAAUUACAACUGUAAAAAUCGGCUAUAUAGUCCGAACAAAAAUAUUGUAAUUUCUUCUCUUCUCCUCGGUUUUACGAACACUGGAAAUCAGAAAAACAAGAUAGAAAUAUUGAAAGGGUUGAUUUUGAUCUUAUUGUUUUCUCUUCGUUUUCCCUUUUUCAUUAUUUAUCUUUUUGUUUAUUUAUUAUUAUUAUUUUUUAAUAAAUCUGAUUUUUUUUAAAAAAACAAAAGAAAAGAAAGUACCUGGCAGAACCCGCGGUCGUCGUCGACAGUCCCUUCGGUCGCCGGAAUCGGACCGAGAAAGGGCGAAGGAGGUCCUUUUCCUUUGGCCUUUUAUGCCAAGAGGGCUCGGCCUUCGAACGGGGUGAAAACGGGGUUAAAAACCUGAUCUUUGAGGGCGCCGACCACCGCCUACGGUGGAGCCACGGCGGCCAAAGGCCUAGAAACCCGACGGUCGGAUUUGGGGAAGAAGAGAAGAGAGGGAGAGGGUUUCUAACAUUUUUUUUUAUUUUCUAAUGGCAGAAUGAUUUUUUUUAAAAAAUUUUUACCUUUAUAAGAGUUGCAAAACGACGCCGUUUAGCCCCCUCAGACCCAAUGCGCGACCCGACCCGCCUAGGGGAUCCGCGCGUUUCUGAUUAAGG
rnacentral:lncRNA from 1 species